rnacentral:lncRNA from 1 species
CUCCCUUCCAGUCAAAAACCCUCCAACUGCAGUGGCAAGAGCCAAGGGCAAGGAGAACAAGAUGGCAGGCAGGGCAGACAGGGAGAAGCGUCCGUGGUUAGCUGCCUUCUCUACACCUUUCUCUUGUCCUGUCUCUGUGCAUCUACCUUUUUUUCUGACCCACUUCAAUUUCAUUAUAGCAGAAAAGAAUCACAUCUGGAAAAAUUUUACAAUUAUCACAAGAGGUUCAGUACAAAAGAGAUGAGCCAGUCUUGGGUCUGAAGUAGAGAAUGGGGUAGCUUACACGUACCCACACUUUCUUUGUUCCAGUCACUUCGAAGAAUUGCGUGGAACCCUGGUCUAGACCACUUUGUUCUACAUUUUACAGUAAUGAACUCUUUUGUCAUUUACAUUCUAUCUGUCACACCAACUUUCAAGAAACCCAUAGCCCAAGUCUCUCAAGUGUGAACUGGUAGGAGGAAAUGGUUACAGACUGUAUUAGCUCACAAUACUCACUGUAAAGUACACUGACUCAGGCAUCUCCAGUCUUUCACACUUGCACACCCACUCAAGCAUACAUACUAGACAUAAAAAUUGUGCAAGAUCAAGCAUCAGCUUUCUAUUUUAAAAGCCUUAAUAGUAAUUUUAAAAACAUUGAUAGGCUCACUGCAGUUUCUUCAGAGGAAUAUUAAGUCCUACAGCACUCCUUUAGAAAAAUUCACAACUCAUUGUUAAGAACACGGUAGGUAACUGUUGCUUGACAAUGACUUAACAUUAUUAGAGCAUCCAGUGCCAGCUAGAAUAACAAGGAGAUACACCUGACAAUACAAACAAAUAUUCUGUGAUGUCACCAGCCCUAACAGACUUGUUAAUAAUAUUCACUAUGACAAAUGACUCAUCUUUGCUUCAUCAGCACAUGAAAUGACAUCUUUUUAGGUUACAUAGUAAAGAGCAGCACCCACCCUACUGCACAAAUAAAGGGUGCCCACAUGGGUGCUCUAACCCCCUCAAUGUAUAGCUGAGAGGUCUUGUCCUACUCAGUGCCGUGUUUGCAAUGUGGUCACUGUUUGGGCAAAGGCUGCACAUUGGUAGGAUAAUAAAUGUACAAGUACCCUUUAAAAUGGGGAGAGGGUGCUCCUGCAUUCAGCUGUGGAAUAUAAUAAUCCAAGAAAUGGAAGAGGAGAAACAGGAAAUAGUCCUUAGGUUACUGAUUAAAGCAAGGUUUGAUAAAGAUAUCCCCUCUUGUAGGCACUCAGCGGGUAGAAUGUAGCCACAACAAACUUCCCAUCAAAC